rnacentral:rRNA from 1 species
CCUACGGGUGGCAGCAGUGGGGAAUAUUGGACAAUGGGCGAAAGCCUGAUCCAGCCAUGCCGCGUGUGUGAAGAAGGCCUUCGGGUUGUAAAGCACUUUCAGUGGGGAAGAAAGCCUUGGGGCUAAUACCCUCGAGGAAGGACAUCACCCACAGAAGAAGCACCGGCUAACUCCGUGCCAGCAGCCGCGGUAAUACGGAGGGUGCGUGCGUUAAUCGGAAUUACUGGGCGUAAAGCGCGCGUAGGCGGUCUGAUAAGCCGGUUGUGAAAGCCCCGGGCUCAACCUGGGAACGGCAUCCGGAACUGUCAGGCUAGAGUGCAGGAGAGGAAGGUAGAAUUCCCGGUGUAGCGGUGAAAUGCGUAGAGAUCGGGAGGAAUACCAGUGGCGAAGGCGGCCUUCUGGACUGACACUGACGCUGAGGUGCGAAAGCGUGGGUAGCAAACAGGAUUAGAUACCCGUGUAGUC